rnacentral:rRNA from 1 species
UGGGGAAUAUUGGACAAUGGGCGAAAGCCUGAUCCAGCAAUGCCGCGUGAGUGAUGAAGGCCUUAGGGUUGUAAAGCUCUUUUACCAGGGAUGAUAAUGACAGUACCUGGAGAAUAAGCUCCGGCUAACUCCGUGCCAGCAGCCGCGGUAAUACGGAGGGAGCUAGCGUUGUUCGGAAUUACUGGGCGUAAAGCGUACGUAGGCGGUGACUCAAGUCAGAGGUGAAAGCCUGGAGCUCAACUCCAGAACUGCCUUUGAAACUAGGUCGCUAGAAUCACGGAGAGGUGAGUGGAAUUCCGAGUGUAGAGGUGAAAUUCGUAGAUAUUCGGAAGAACACCAGUGGCGAAGGCGGCUCACUGGACGUGUAUUGACGCUGAGGUACGAAAGCGUGGGGAGCAAACAGGAUUAGAUACCCGUGUAGUCCCUGAGCGGGCUGGCAAGGCGCAU